UACAAGACACCAAGUGCCAUCUCUGCAAGUCUGUGAUCGCCCGGGCAUGGAACGCCAGCGAACAGGCCAUGCCACAGGCAAUGCGCCAGGCCUGCCUUCGCUUCUGGCUGGACAGGCAAAAGUGUGAGCAGUUUGUGGAAGAGCACACAGCCGAGCUGCUGGUCCUGGUGCCCAGGAGCCAGAACUCCCAUGUCACCUGCCAGGCCCUGGGAGCGUGUGAGGCCCCGGCCAGUCCUCUGCAAUGCUUCCAACCCGCACACCUCUGAGGACUCCAGGUCAUUUCCUGACUCUGCGUUAGAGCUCCUCCUCACAGCAUCUUGCACCAGAUGGCCACAAAACCUCAGCCUGUGCCCCAGCCCUGUGUCAGGCCGUACGCCUCACUCUCAUCACCGCCCAGCACCAGGAGUGGUCUCUGCCUCCUUUGGGGACGAGGUGUAGCAGGCCAUCUUCCGGAAGCCUUCAAAGGGGCUUCAGGUCUCCACACCCACCGGAGCCCAGCCCGGCCCCAACAGCUCCUACAGCCUCCGGGGACUGAGAAGAGACUGCCACCGCUCCCAGAGGACAGCAAGGAGAAGCUGGGUCUGGCCACACCCGCCCCUUGCUAGCACGUCUAUGAAAUGCAAACUUCAAAAGAAUAAAAAAUGGUAACUCGAAGUA